GCUUCUUGUUCUCAUCAAGGUACUGCGUUUAAGCAAAGGAAAGAGAAUGACAAGGAAAUGACGAUGCAGCCUAUCAUCUUACCAUGGAAGACAUCAAGCCAAGAGAAAGUACAAAACAACAACAUCAAGCAAGCAUCUAACUUCAAUGUCCAUUCUUGAAAACCGGAUUCAAAGUUUCCUGACCCACCAAGCAUCUACUAAUUUCCUAGUCCUAGAAACUGUCUCUUCUCAUCAUCACCAACAACAGACUCUCAAGUGUUGUGGAAUUAACGAGAAAGAUUCAAAUGAAAACCCUAAUUGCCACCAAUUACAGUCAAAAGAGUAUUACUUGCACUCAGAAGCCAAUGAUUUUGUCAGUACAAAAAAGCUCUAAGAGCCUCCUAAGUAGUGUUGAACAAAUUAAGAGAGAGGGAGAGAUAUAGGGUGAGAAAGAAGGAACCUUUUGGAUCUGUUCGGUAGUGAU